rnacentral:lncRNA from 1 species
AUGGGGUGCCAGCCCCUCCCCCAGGAGAGGGAGCAGAGUGCUGGGUCAGGAAAUCAGGGUGACUCAGCACCCAUGGGUGCUGGGGACCUUGCUGGAAACCCUGCUUGGGACAGGGUUGGUUCUGGGUGUCAGGCUUGUGUUGGGGACCAGGCAGGCAGUGACUCUGUAGGAGGGGCUGGUCCAGACAGCCCCAGACAGGGCAGGUGCUUUGGAUCUCCUGCCCCAGAGACCUACUCAGUCCCAGGAGAGUGGUGGUCACUGGACCCUGGAUCCAACCUCUUUGGGGAGGACAGACAGCAGAGGCUCGGCUCCAGAUGCUGCCAUGUGACCAUUUAUGUCCUCCAGUAUCCGUGGCAUCCCUGGGACUCUCCACAUUGCUGUCUUUUUCCUCAGCAAGUGCCGUCUUGCCUUACAGGUAAACCACAUCUUGCUUCUAUAUUCACCCUGGUGGACACCAUGGUUUUCUUUUUGGGCUGCUGGGGUUGUGGCUGCCAUGAACACAGAUGUGCACACACUCUGCAUGGGUAUUCUUGAAUGACAAAUGCAAGACCCAAUACUGGGUUUAGGCUGGGAUCCUGAUUUGUGAAAGCAGUGCUUUGUCCCUGGGGGUAGCAUGGACAGGGUUUUAUGCUAAUUGGAAAAUGUGAAGGGGCCUGCUCCUAGCUGCUGGCACCAGGAAGAAAGGCUUUGAGGGAAUGGAGAAUGGAGUGAAGAAGGCUGUGUAAGCACACACGACUCCAUGUUGGCCUGUGUGACCGGUGUCGAUUGUAUGGAGACAGGAAACAAAACAAGCCCCCAAGUGUUCCCUGCAAAACGGCAGGGUCAGGCAGGGAAGCUGAGGCUUGAAGAGAAGAGGGAAUUUAGCAUGAGAGGGGUCUCCAUUCCUCUUCCCUGACUGACUGGAGUGCUAGGUCCCUCACAAGGAAGCUGAGUUUCUUUUGCAUCCCUGAGCCUCAGCUUUGCUAUGCAGAAAGGGAGGAGCAAGACCAUGGACCUGAUGUCUGUAGAGAGAGGUGAAGGUGGGGCGCAGACAGGGGGGAAUCCUAGCGGAAUGAAGGGAACUAUGUGGGAAGAGAGUGGGUAACGGUGUGGGGUCUUGUGGUGCCAGCCCCUGGCUGAGCUUGCUCUGUCUUGGGGACAGUCCCAAUCACAGAACAGGACAUUGGGAGGGUGUGGUGAAUGCCCAGGUCUCCGUGACCUGGCUUGUCAAAGCUCCCAUUUGCUGCAUGUUUCUUUCAGAUGGACAGCAGCCAGCCAGCGUGGCUGCGGGGGGUCACUCAGUGCCCUUUCCACAGCUGUGAGCCGAGCUCAGGGAGGGUGGAGGCCAGAGUGGGACCAGGGCUGGCAUGGGGUGGGGGCUGGGGCAGAGUGAGACUAGGGUUGGCAUGGGAGGGGUGUGGAACUGAUGUGUGUCACAUGGGUGGUCCAUCGAGUGUCACAGAGAGGCCACCGGGCAGGAGCUGAGACCUGAAGAAGCCAUGCCCCUCUCCAGCGGGCACCUCCUUUCACCCAGCCCUGCAAGAGGCAGGGAGCU